AAGCAGAGGACAGUGGCGGACGGGUGAGUAACGCGUGAGGAACCUGCCUUUCAGUGGGGGACAACAGUUGGAAACGACUGCUAAUACCGCAUGACGCAUAGGGGUCGCAUGAUCUUUAUGCCAAAGAUCUAUCGCUUCAAGAUGGCCUCGCGUCUGAUUAGCUAGUUGGUGAGGUAACGGCCUACCAAAGCAACGAUCAGUAGCCGGGCUGAGAGGCUCAUCGGCCACAUUGGGACUGAGACACGGCCCAGACUCC
rnacentral:rRNA from 1 species